rnacentral:sRNA from 1 species
GCUGGGCGUGGUGGUGCAUGCCUGUAAUCCCAGCAGCUCUGGAGGCUGAAGCAGGAGGAUAGCAAGUUCAAGCAGUCUCAGCAAAAGAAAGGCAGCAAGCAACUCAGUGAGACCUGUCUCUA